rnacentral:SRP_RNA from 1 species
GCUGGGCGUGGUAGUGCACGCCUGUAGUCCCAGCUACUUGGGAGGCUGAGGCAGAAGAAUUGCUUGAAUCCAGGAGGUGGAGGUUGCAGUGAGCUGAGAUCAUGCCACUGCACUCCAGCCUGGGCGACAGAGUGAAAUUCUGUCUCAA